UAUAGAUAUUUCCUGAGAGACACAGUUAGAGAAUGUCUAAUACAGAAGUGAAUGUUAGUGGCAAACCAGUGAACUGAAAACGGACAUCUUGUUGGUAGAUUUUGAGACAGUAUUACAAUUGUUGAAGGUGCUGUUAACUACAAAAGAACAACAUUCUCAAUGACCCAGAGCUUUCUGGUACUAGACCAAUAUUCAAAGAAUGAACAUAGACAGAAAUAUGGCUCCAAAUGCAUAUGUGGCAGAGGAUUGCUUUUUUGGCACCAAUGGAAGGAGAAGCCCUUGGUUCUACCUUGGUUUGUCUCCCAGUUUAAGGGAAUGUCAAAGGGCAGAAUUAUGGUUAGAGAAGAAGGGAUUGUGAACAGGUUGUGAUUUAAUGGGCAGGAAACUGAGAAAGGAAAUAAUAUUUUAAACGUAAAUAUAGCCUCAUCCAGUUUAAAAAUCACUUAAAUUGAUAAAAAAUUAAAAAAAGAAAGAAAUAAAAGUAAAGAAAACUUCCAACUAAUCACAGUUAUUUACUCAGAAAUCUAAAUUGGUAUUCAGAGUAAUACUUGUAGCAAGACAAAGAUGAUGAAGUCUCAACUAGAAGCACUUCUUUCUCCGAGAUAUCCGUGUCAGACACAAAAUGCACUAUAGGUAUCCAAAGCUUGGAGGAGUUUACUCUGACCUGAGGACCCAAUACUUGUCUUUACCUCCUUCCUUAGGACCUUUUUCUUCUGGGCAAAAAGAAAAAAAGGCCAUAGAUCUCAGAAAAACAACUGUGCCCUCUCAAAAUUUUGCUUUGUAAUUAGGAAAUGAAUGAUAUAAAACCUUUGACAUCCAGGUACCAUAAGAACAGGGAAGUCCAGAUGCUUCUGUGAAGCUUCCAGCUCUUGAUUCCCAUAUGUGUAAGUCUCAGAUCAAGUCUAUCUCUUCAGCGAUACCACUCCAACCCUUCCAAGGGCUCCCUGAACUUUUCAAAGUACCACUUAUUUUUCCUUUUUUUUUUUUCAUACAAAGACAGAAGGUCAGCUUCUUUCUCCCCAUCUCUGAUCUCUUUAUCCUUUUUGUUCUCACUCCCAAAUGGCUGUUUACUCUGAAUUAGUGGCCAAUUAGCAAACCGGAGAGUUACUGAGGGAAUAUGUGAGAGGCAGUUCCUGUCAGGACAGUAAUUGUUACAUCACAGAAGAAGCUAGGGCUCUCCUAGUUACAACAAAUUUGUCAUGGAGGUCCUAUUUAUGAUGUCACUGAGAACGGCCAUCUCCUACAUGCUAAACAGCUUUCCUUACAUUUACCAGAUUCGAAGGUGUCCUUUCCAGGAAUAAAGAAAAGGACUGUUUACUGCACAAUCUCAUGAUAUCACAGAACAAUUCUUCCAACACUACAAAGUGAAAUCUCAUAAAAAGAUGGGUACCCGAAGCCACAGAAUGUUCCACAAAUGAAAAGCAAACCUUCCCAUCCUUUUGCUAACCUUAUGCUGUGUUACGAUGCAAGGCUUUCAAGAAGAACACAGAUCAGAUAUCAGCUCCUGCUUCUUCCUUUAGGGGUGCCCUUGUGGUGAAUAAACUUUACAAGCAGAAAAAAAAGAAAAAGUAAAGAAGUUCUUUUCUUGUUGAGGAGAGUUUUCUCUGUCAUGGGGUUUUUGUUAUUUCAAAUGAAUUUUCAAAUUGCUCUUUCUAACUCUAUGAAGCAGUGAGUUGGAAUUGUGAUAGCGAUUGCCUUGAAUAUGUUGAUUGCUUUUGCCAAGUUUGCCAUUUUUGUAAUAUUAACUCUACCAAUCCAUAAGCAUGGAAAAUCUUUCCAUCUGAGAUUUUCUUCAUUUUUUUUUCUUCACAGAGUUGAAGUUCUUGUCAUAAAGACCUUUUACUUGCUUGGUUAGAGUCACACUGAGUCUCUUGCAGAUUCAGCUAAAGAUGUGUAUAUGCUAGACUGUGAAGUACCAUUAGAAGAUGAAGCAAUGUAGGACCUCUUGAGCUAUUUUCAAGGUAAACUGGAGGUUCACUUGGGAUGCAAUGAAGAGCCCCUGACAAGCAUAUUCUUCAAAGCCUCCCAUGGUGUAACUGAAGAUACGAUAUGUGAAGUAGCCCUAGCUUGCCUGCUCAAGUCUUCAAAGCCCAAAGACAACUGCUGGAAUGAAAUGCAACCUAUAGGACUGAUGGAAGAAUUGCUACAUGGACUUUCAAAUGGCAUGAAAAUAUAUGGACAUUCUAAAUACUGAAAAAGAAUAGGAAGCUGAUCAAGCAAUACUGGAUCUUCCUCUGCUCCACGAGAAUUCCCAGUGAUGUCCACGGUGCAAUAACAACUUUUUCCCAUGAAGUCUGGUAUAUUACCUUUUUGAUGACUGACACAACAGUCCUACUUCUGUAGGUGUCCUUUCACAUGCAGAGGAAUGUGUAGAUGGACAUAUAUUUGAAUAAGAUACUGAACCUAAGACUACUGCAUUAGAGCCUCGUACAAGAAUUCUAAGACUGUUGACUGCCUACCAUGGAUAUUCAGAAUGGCUUUUUGGCCUUGCGGAAGGUGUAUAACAUGUAUAUCCAACUCAUCAUGGCUGAAAUCAGUAAAAUGUAGACAACUAUAUAAUGAAUGAAAGGAAGGGGUCACUCUUGGAAAGUAUUAAGAAGAUCGUCAUAACCUCUGGCCAUGUUAGAGAUCAAGAAGUGGUCAGAAGAAUUUCAAGUACAAAUUCAGAUGGCUGGAAAGAGCCCAGUCUCUCUAACAGGCAUCUGCAGAUACUACCUUUUGAGGAAUGAAUCCUUCUCAGGAGACAAUAGACGGAACCUGCACUUCAAUGAUAAUUAAAUGGCACUUCAAGAUAUCAAAUCAAAAUAUCAAAGUGAGAAUGGAAUAAAUUUAUUAGUACAGUG